UACAGAGGGGGCAAGCGUUAUUCGGAAUUAUUGGGCGUAAAGGGCGCGUAGGCGGCCUUGCAAGUGACGGGUGAAAUCCCUCGGCUUAACCGAGGAACUGCCUGUCAAACUGCGUGGCUUGAGACCAGGAGAGGUGAGUGGAAAUUCCCAGUGUAGCGGUGAAAUGCGUAGAUAUCGCUUGGAACGCCGAAGGUGAAAACAGGUCGCUGGGGAUGUGCCGACGCUGAGACACGAAACGCCAGGGGAGCAAACGGG
rnacentral:rRNA from 1 species